UAAUUUUGCUAGUGGCAACAACGCAGAUAUAAACAUAACCACAAUUUAAUGUUUUCGGUAGUUGAAGAGCAACAGGUUAAUGAAUAAAUUACAUUAAUUCUUUCUAAAUUGAUGAUAUUUCAGAAGUAUAAAAAAAAACAUAAGUGGUGGUCAAAAACACGGCAAAAAUAAGUGUUCAAAACUUUAUCUGGAAAAGGUAGUCGAAAGGUACACAGGAAUCAACAUGCCAAGAAAAUAUAUUCGCAAAGUAGGCUCUAAAAAAUAUCAUGACUUUGAAGAAAAAAAUAUGGAAAGUGCUAUAGAAGACGUGCAAUCUGGAAUGUCCUAUAGAACAGCUUCUGAAAAAUGGAAGGUAACCAAAUCAACUUUACAGAGAAGAUGUACAAAGUAGAAUUUAGGGAGUUAUGGAAGAUCUACAGUUUUGAAAAAAGCGGAAGAAGACGAAUUUAUUAGAGGGCUAACCACAGCAGCUGAAUGGGGAUUUCCCUUAUCUCACUUUGAAAUAAGGUGCAUGGUGAAACGAUAUCUGGAUAUUAAGGGUGUCAUAGAAAAACGAUUUAAAGAAAAUUUCCCUGGGCCCGAUUGGAUUUUAUCAUUUUUGCGUCGACACAGAGGUGAGCUAUUUACAAGAUUAUGUGAAAAAUAUCAAAUCAUCUAGGGCAGAAGUGGAUGAAAACGUGUUAAGGAAAUAUUUUCAAAAUUUAGCGGUUUCGCUUGAAGGAAUUCCACCGCAUCUAAUAAUAAACUAUGAUGAGACUAAUCUGACCGAUGACCCUGGGAAACAGAAGGCCAUAGUUAGGCGAGGCUGUAAACGUCCCGAAAGAGUAUUGGACUCUAGCAAAAGCAGCACCUCCGUAAUGUUUGCAGGAACCGCAUCCGGAAAGCUCUUACCAUGCUAUGUCGUUUACAAAGCUGAACAUUUGUACGACACUUGGCGGCAAGGAGGUCCAAGAGGAACCAGGUAUAACCGAUCGAAGAGUGGUUGGUUUGACGGGGUGAUGUUUGAAGAUUGGUUCAGCAAGAUUGCUCUAAAAUACUUUCAAAAAUAUGACAGGGAUGUUCCAAAAAUGUUAAUCGGGGACAACUUAGCUUCACAUUUAUCUAUAAAUGUGAUAAACCUGUGCAAAGCAUUUAAUAUUAGUUUUGUGUUAUUGUCCCACCAAACAGUACACAUUUUUGUCAACCCCUAGAUGUUGCUGUGUUUCGACCAUUGAAGACUUUUUGGAGGCAAGUGAUUAAUAAAUGGAAAAUGUCUCAUAGAGGGUGUAUUCCAAAAGAUACGUUUCCCAGUCUAUUAGCAGAGACACUAGAGAAGCUUAACAUAACUAUCGAGGAAAAUUUAAUAAGUGGAUUUAGGGCAACAGACAAUUUCCCUCUUGAUGAGGAGCAGGUAUUGAAACGUUGAAACGUAUCCCUCGAAAAGAACCAAGUGCUGAUGGUAGUACAAGCACUUUAUGGUCAGAAACUUUUGCUGAUAUGCUAUCGCAAAGAAGGAUAAACCAAAACCCAGAAAAGAAACGGAAAAAGAAAUUAAAAGUUCAACCAGGACUAAGUGUAGCUUGCUCUAGCAAUAGCAGUUCUAGCGGAGAUGAGAGCAGUGGGAACGACGAACAGUUUUCAUUACACGAUUCCGAAUCCUUAGUUGGCCAGAGAAACUUUGACGAUGUGGAUAUGGAGGAAAAUUGGGAAGAUUUUGACAAUGUGGAUAUAAACGAAAACCAAGAAGAUUUUAACCAAAGUGAUAUAGAGGAAAACAUGACAUUAGUUGAACUACGAGAUAAGAUUAACCAGGAAAGAAAUAAUAACCAACAAAAUGGACAAAAACAAAUCAUUGCUUCAACAAAAAAGAAACUCGACAAAUAUUAUAUUGGACUUGUCAAAUCAAUCCACUCUAAAGACGGACAUAAAUCAUAUUUUUGAAGCUUUAUGAGAAAAUAACAAAAAAUAACAAACAUUUUGUGUUCCCACAUUUAGCCGAUGAGUUUGAUGUCCCAGAGGAUAAAAUUGUAAGAUUGCUCAAAGCAACGAACGUGAGCAUUACUAGAGGCCGCCAUACGUUUAAUGAAUUAGAAAAUACAGAUUGGUUACAAUAAGGAGAACUCAAAUAAUGAUCCAUUUUUCUCGGUUUACAGAAAGUUUUUUUUGUUCUUGUGAUAUUUUUUUGUGUUUAGGGAACAUUUUUUUAGUUUCUAUUGUUCCUUGCGAUACAAAUCGAAAGGCUGUGAUUUUGAAUUUAUUUUUUUAGUUCCUUUUUGCUAAUUACGAUACAAAUCGUAGAGCUAUGU